UUGAAUGUUGCGGUCAACCGUCAAACGGUGCGAUUGAUCGUCCAUGAAGUCGUGUUCAUCGUGUUGUUUUUCUGGACCUCUGGUGACGUCGUCUGAAUCGUCCUCAGUUUCUUCAUGUUUCCGACAUGUUUUAUCGUCCAUGUUUGUCGUCAGCGUAGAUAAACCAGUGUAAACCAGGACAUUUUAUAAUAUGAAUAAAGUUUUACAUAAAAAUGA